rnacentral:rRNA from 1 species
UACGGAGGGAGCUAGCGUUGUUCGGAAUUACUGGGCGUAAAGCGCGCGUAGGCGGCUUUGCAAGUCGGGUGUGAAAUCCCCAGGCUCAACCUGGGAACUGCAUUCGAGACUGCAUUGCUAGAGUAUGGGAGAGGGAAGUGGAAUUUCCGGUGUAGCGGUGAAAUGCGUAGAUAUCGGAAGGAACAUCAGUGGCGAAAGCGACUUCCUGGACCAAUACUGACGCUCACGUGCGAAAGCGUGGGGAGCAAACAGG